UACGUAGGGGGCAAGCGUUGUCCGGAAUCAUUGGGCGUAAAGAGCGUGUAGGCGGCUCGGUAAGUCCGCUCUGAAAGCCCGGGGCUCAACCCCGGGAGGCGGGCGGAUACUGUCGGGCUAGAGUCCGGAAGAGGCGAGUGGAAUUCCUGGUGUAGGCGGGUGGAAAAUGCGCAGAUAUCAGGAGGAACACCAAUGGCGAAGGCAGCUCGCUGGGACGGUACUGACGCCUGAGACGCGAAAGCGUGGGGAGCAAACAGGAUAGAUAC
rnacentral:rRNA from 1 species